rnacentral:tRNA from 1 species
GUCCUCGUAGCUUAUCAACUAAAGCAUGGCACUGAAGAUGCCAAGAUGGCCACCAUAUAUGCCCAAGGACA